AGUUGUGAUGUGACCUUGUGCUGUUUGAAGAUCAGUGAACCGGGUUGACUAUUAUCAGUAUUAUACAAAUAGAUUAUAGAUGAUAAGAUACAGCUUGUGGCGGGGUCACCAUCUCCAGUUUACCCAACAAAUAAGGUCACUACGCAGUGGUAGCAGCCACCCAGACCCACGGUUGGGCCUUCAAUAUGACGCGCCGGAAAAGAAAAUAAACUCUGCUAACCUAGGAGAAUCUAGGCAGAUAGUGUUACAAAUGACCACAUACUCACAUGCCAUCAAACGUAUCCGAGCACGAAUUAGCCAGACGUUUUCCUUCUCAAUGACAGGACGAAGUGUCACCUCCUCCUUUGAUGCCCACUCUGUAUUUCUUUUCAUCCAAAAGUCUAUGAAUUUCAUCGUCUGCGGGUCUCUUACAGUACUCGGGCUCAUACUUUUAAUCGAAUUCUUCCUCAGACUUUUCGUCGGUGACAAGACAGAAGAAGGCAGAAUGUUGAAAGCUGAACAUGAUUACUACCGUAGUCGGAAUCAAAGCAGGGACACCACACAGAGAUUACCAGAGUCUGCUUAGGAUCAUCGACACAGUCGUAGAUUCUUAAUCUCAGAUGCAAAAGAACUCAAACCUUGGUGUGAAAGUUGCGACGCCGACAGCCGGAUUAAUCAAAAAUAGUAGUAAAGACGAACGAUCAGCGAUUAAAAUCGAGUGGUUGAUUACUUUCCAACUGAUAGUUGAUAUUUUGCACUUUCAGUACUUAUCAUCAACUGACAAUAUCAGCAAAAGCAAACUUUCGUCUUUGGUUGAGUGAUUUUUAAGUUCAGAUCAGUUUCGACUGACUGGAUCUAGUAUACUGUAAUUUUCGCCAUUUUUUAAUUACUAAACAUUCAGAUGAGUUUCGAGUACAAUUUUUAUUAAGUUGAUUUGUUGUUGUCUUGCACAGUGUUUGCUGUUAAGGAUUUAUAAAUGGCGCCGCCUUUCGGAUUAUUGAUAUGUAUUAUGUUCCUUCGGAGGGUUGUAUUCACUGUAAUUUGUAUUACUUUAAUUUAUUUUCUUUCACAAAAUACUUCACAAUCAUUUGUCACACCUUCAAAACGUUUCGUGACCUGAAAUUUAGUCAAAAUGUACGGGAGAAAAGCGAGCAAUAGACUAGCAAGCUAGGUAACAUAUUUCAAAAUCAUACUUUUACAUUAUUGCCCACUUCGUAAGAAUUUGUGAGAUAGAGUGAACACUUGAUACCAAGAGUAAGUUAUAUGACAGUCCAGAUAUUGAUAUAAUGACAUCAACUGCUCCGCUAUCUAACCUCGCGAUAAUAGACGUGAUUAGAUUGGUCCUGUCACCGUUAUAACUGCUACCACUACUUUUACUUUUGGAGAGC